UACAUAUCUUCUUGUUGUGUUGUGUUGUGUGGGCACAGAAUUAAGAAAGAAAGAAAGAAAGAAAGAAAGAGGUUUGACGAUGAAGAAGUUGAUCUCAGUGAGUGUGUUGCCUGGCCUUCUGGUGUUGUUGUUGCUUUGUUCGGUGUGUGAAUUGGGUCACUGUCUCGAACGCUCUUCUGUUUUAAAGAUGAGGCUUGGAGGGAUUCACGACUGCAAAGGCUCUCAGAACAGCGCCGAGAUCGACAGCCUCGCUCGUUUUGCUGUCCAAGAACACAACAAGAAAGCGAAUUCUCUUCUUGAGUUUGCAAGGGUAUUGAAGGCCAAAGAACAGGUGGUUGCUGGUAAGAUGUACCAUUUGACUCUGGAAGUGAUUGAUGCUGGUAAGAAGAAGAUAUACGAAGCUAAAGUCUGGGUGAAGCCAUGGAUGAACUUCAAGGAGUUGCAGGAAUUUAAGCAUGCCCAUGAUGACCCUUCCUUUUCCCAGUCAGACCUAGGUGCUGAACGUGAUGGCCAUGAACCAGGAUGGAAAGCAGUGCCAACUAAUGAUCCUGAGGUUCAAGAUGCAGCAAAUCAUGCCGUUAAGUCCAUCCAGAAGAGAUCAAACUCCUUGUCUCCCUAUGAACUUCUAGUGGUCCUUCUAGCUAAGGCCAAGGUUGGCAUUUUGUACUACUAUCUCUCUUAUCUUGAUUUCUUGCUAUAUAUACAGAUGGAGCCAAGUUCUUCCCAACCCCUGCUUUUCAACCCCUUCUUUUCAAGGAUUUUGCUAAGGCCAAGGUUGGCCUUUUGUACUACUAAAUCCCCCUCUCCAUAGCAAAGCUGCUGGCCAUGACACUACAAAAAACUUCACUUGUUUCGUCCCUCUAUUUUCGAGGGUCUACUAAAAAGGGUCCAUACAAACACUGAAAUAGACAUAAGCGAAUGAAUGAGUAUGGCUAGCUUUAUUUCAAGGGUCAUUAAAACCCUUGAAACAAGUCAAUAACUCCCGUUUUAAAAAAAUGCAACCACUUUUAGCAAGCAUUCCCGCUAGAGUUUUGGGUCCAAAAUAUUUUUCCGCACCACUUUUACGCGACCCUCGUAAUAAAGAUAUUCCAAAAUUUUCAAUCCUCGAAAUAAAGCCCAUAAUUUGAAAAAUAAAAGGAGAAAGCCAUUUCAUUCAGUCAAAGGAGCGGUGGUCGACGACUUAGCUCCGGCGACUAUCUGAGGCACAGUGGUCGACGAUAUCAUCUCCGAUGACGAACUGAGGGCACGGUGGUCGGAAAUAUCAUCUCCUCCACUUCUUCGUUCGAUUACAGGAUUUAUGCUGACUGGAUCAAUAUUCAUGGUUGGUGGCAAUAAUGCUCAGCUUAAGUUUCUGUAUAACUGAUGCUGGUGCUGCCUAAGUUGCUGCAUAAUUGCUGGGCUGUUGUUGGAGGUGUGAUAGAUGCUUUGAUUGAUUUGGUUGCCUCUCCAUAGCAAAGCUGCUGGUGAGGGAAGUCAAAAGCUUGCCUUAGGAUGAUCUAGCCAUUUAGGGUUGCUAAGUCUCCUGUUGGCUACCUACCUGCAAAAGCAGAAUCUCCAGAGACUGAUUCUUAAACAAUUCAUGUUCAAAGAAAGAACAAUGAUUGUAAAUCUAUUUUUCAUAAGCAAUUCUUCAAAAUCUGGGAGUCUUGAAUUAUUAAAGGAAUCACCAUCAAAUUUCCACUUGAAUAUAGUCAAUGGAGGCUUAGCUGAAUCGUUUAUUAUUUCAGCAUGACAAUGGACAAUUAAUUUGUUUGAUGUGCUGAAAUAGGGAAGCUUAGUUUGUUGGAAUUUUGGAUUAUUGAGAGAAUUAGCUUGUAUUAUAACUGCCACAAGCAAGGCUCUGUUGAAUGAUAUCUAAAAGGUGUGUUGGAACUUCUUGCUUUCCAAAUGCACUGGAGAAUGAAGGGGGGAAAAAAAUCUAGAAGAAGGCAGUGGUAUAUGAGGCCAUGGGUGCUGUGUGCUAUGGUUUUUAGGUAGCUUAUAUGUGAAGUUUUAGAUGCAGGUCUGGUGUUGUCUACUAUAAGCGUUUGGAUGAAGUUUGUAAUGUCUUCUUAUCUGUCCAUGAAAGUGCUAGCAAGACCUUUGCCCUAUUUUUGGAAGGAGGGUGAUGAUGGGAGAGCUUUCUAAACAUUAGUCUUGUCUGCUCUUCUCUGAUUUUCAAGUUUCAUCCUUGAUGCAAGACUUUGAACCUUUCUUGUCUCUGGUGAGCUAAAAAUUCUGAACAUGAAGUAUGUGCUAGAUCAGUGAAGACUCCUUCAGUUUGGUCGGCCAACAGUUGCAGAUGUUUUCUUCCCUAGAAUCUCGUGUUGAAUCUCACUCCCAUUAAAUUACUCUAAUCACAAAUACAUGGUCACACUUUACCUAUAGUUUUGGUUUUCUAAAUAAUUCUGAACAGCCUUUGCAAU